AACAUAGGGGGCGAGCGUUAUCCGGAAUUAUUGGGCGUAAAGAGUACGUAGGCGGCCUGUUAAGUCUGAUGUGAAAUCCCGCGGCUUAACCGCGGAGGGUCAUUGGAAACUGGCAGGCUUGAGUACGGCAGGGGUAAGUGGAAUUCCAAGUGGAGCGGUGAAAUGCGUAGAUAUUUGGAGGAACACCAGUGGCGAAGGCGGCUUACUGGGCCGGAACUGACGCUGAGGUACGAAAGCGUGGGGAGCAAACAGGAUUAGAUACCCUGGUAGUCCACGCCGUAAACGAUGAGCACUAAGUGUCGGAUAUAAAUUCGGCGCUGUAGUUAACACAUUAAGUGCUCCGCCUGGGGAGUACGGUCGCAAGACUGAA
rnacentral:rRNA from 1 species